GGCAGGAUCUGCGAUGGAAGCGGAGACCAUGAGUGAAGCCGCCAAGAGAGCAGCAGCUGCUGUUAAAGACAGAGCAGGAGCUCCAGCAAAAUACAUUGGAAACAAAAUAGCCAAUGCUAUAUGGGCAAAAAAGCGUACAUAAAUUUGAACAAUUCUCAUUGCCAAUGUUACAGUACUGUUCAUUACAGAAAAUGGCCAGGAUUCAAUCAACAUUUGUUCUCAACUAAAGAUCUAAAAAUUAAAGGCAAUAAUCACACCUGCACCCCAUUCACAAACACACUUCCAGUUCAGCUAAAACUAGCUAAAUGUCAAUUAUGUAUCGACAUCGCUGAGAUUUCUUUCUUAAAAUGAAAGCCGUAUACUAGGGGUGUCCAGAAACAAUACUAUGCGUCUCUGUUCAACCAACAAAAUGAACUGUAUGCGUGUAAUCUUUCACACGAUUGUGCUCCUUGAUAUGGUCUAAUUGUAUUUGAUUCUCUAAAAGCCAAUUUUCUUUUGCUGAACUAAAAGAGUAACAAGGACAUCAUGUAAGUGGUGAUUAAAAUCAUAAAGUUGUCUGUAUUGUGUUCUUUGGAUAUUCUGUAGAAUGCUGUGACUGUUUUGUAAUGAUUUAUUAGUAAUCGAUUUGUUAGUUUCUGUCUUGUUUCUGCAGAGUGGUGAAGGCCCUAGCCAUCACCUCUAUUCUUCUGAUACAAAAUAUAUGAUGAUCUUUGGUCAACUUUCGGGAAGAAAAAAUACAUACAAAGCUGUGCAUCGAGAGCCAGGCCCAGCGC